rnacentral:lncRNA from 1 species
CUACAGUAACAGUAAAGACAGGAUACCAGCAGCUGGUGUCUGAGAAAGAAUCAUUAUUGAAUCAUCUCAGGCUACUUCAUGCAAUGGUGUCUGGAGCGAUGCAGGCAGAGUCUGUGAUCUAUUACCUCAGCUCGUGGCCUGUGCAUCCCCACAGGACUGCCACCUCGCUGCUGAUGCCCUACAGCCCUCCCCUGUCUCUGCAACAUGUCACAGCGAGGCUGCACCUUCUUCUCACUCACAUAGACGAGGUGUCAGAUGUGACAGUGCAAGAUAUCGAUGAGUGUGCACACGCUGCUCUGAACCCAUGCUCCUCUCAGGCAGACUGUAACAACACAAUGGGCUCCUAUCUCUGUGUGUGUCCUCAAGGAUACUUGGAUGUUGAUCCUGAGAACCCUGGCGCCAAUUGUUCAGCCAACGUUAGUGUAUGGACCACCACAGAACGUCUGUCAACCAUCUACACAUCAAUGAGCACCUACACUGACUCGACCUCCACACAGGACCCUGAAGGCAGCAUCACCAUGGGGGUCCUCAGCACCACUGGGAGCAACAUGACUACAGCUCUGAGUAAUACAAGCUCUGCACUUUAUAAUUCAUCAGAUGCUUCACUGUGGACAAGUUCAACACCUCAUAGCAGCAUGAGCUCAUCUGUGGAGCCGCCAGAAGCAACAACCUUAUGUGUUCCUCCCAGCAUCAGCAGCCUUUGGGCAGGUAAUGUUACGGGAACCUCCUUCACUGUCUACUGGAUCAGUCAGUCCACGGAGAAACAAACCUUCCAAGUUGUUGUUAGUAGCAGCUCGGAGGUGGUUUUUUCAGUAAAAACCAAUCAGAGCAGGACGGAGGUGACAGGACUGAAGCUGGGGCUUCUUUACAUUGUUUCAGUCACAUCUUCUGCUUGUGGAAACCAAGGGAUUGCCUUAAAUACAUCAGUAAAAACAGAUGCUCAGACUGUUGACGUCAGCGCUCGUCUUACCAACAUCCAGUUCACAGCAGACCUGCAGGACCCCAACAGCC